AGUGAACGCUGGCGGUAGGCCUAACACAUGCAAGUCGAACAGCAGCACAGUAAGAGCUUGCUCUUACGGGUGGCGAGUGGCGGACGGGUGAGGAAUACAUCGGAAUCUACUUUUUCGUGGGGGAUAACGUAGGGAAACUUACGCUAAUACCGCAUACGACCUACGGGUGAAAGCAGGGGAUCUUCGGACCUUGCGCGAUUGAAUGAGCCGAUGUCGGAUUAGCUAGUUGGCGGGGUAAAGGCCCACCAAGGCGACGAUCCGUAGCUGGUCUGAGAGGAUGAUCAGCCACACUGGAACUGAGACACGGUCCAGACUCCUACGGGAGGCAGCAGUGGGGAAUAUUGGACAAAGGGCGCAAGCCUGAUCCAGCCAUACCGCGUGGGUGAAGAAGGCCUUCGGGUUGUAAAGCCCUUUUGUUGGGAAAGAAAAGCAGCAGGUUAAUACCCCGCUGUUCUGACGGUACCCAAAGAAUAAGCACCGGCUAACUUCGUG
rnacentral:rRNA from 1 species